GGAGUUUUUGCCAGGACUUCACCCCACGCUGGCGGCUUGCUUAACGCCUGUGCCUCCCUUGAGGUUUGGCGUGCUACCUUACUCGUGGCCAACUUUUGCGUUGUGACUGGAUAACCUUCCUUCGCGUGGGGAAUAACCCAGUGAAAAUUGGGCUUUACCGUUAACAUGACGGGGGCACAUGCUCUUGUCUUUGCGGCUGCGUCGCCAACUGAGGGAUCCUUUUUGGAUUGCUUCCCCCUCAGGUAAUGGCUCACCUUUGUAUUGAUCAUUGUCCGGACUGUGUAGGUUGGCCGGCCACACUGGAACUGAGACACGGUCCAGACUCCUACGGGAGGCAGCAUGGGGAAUCUUGCCUGAGAACGAAAGUCUUAUGCAACUGCCCCCCGUGGAGGAUGAAUCUUCUCGGAGUGUAAACCCCUUUCGACCCUGACGAACGCCCGCGACGACUUGACUGCACCGGUAUAACAAGCCCCUGCUAACUACGUGCCAUGUUUCGCAGGAUAACCUAAGGCGCCUCCAUUGCUCGUAAUGACCGUCCGUAUACGGUCCAUAGGCCGUGUGGCUAGUCCGUUGGGAAAUCUCUGGGCUUAUUCCAUAGGCUGCUGCCGAUGCUGCUGUGCUCCAGUGUGAGAGAGGUUAGUGCAAUUACUGCUGUACCAAUCAAAUGCAUAGAUCUCCCUAGGAAUGUCUCAGGCAGAGCCUGCUCUCUGGAGCUCUACUGACGCGUAUGCUCCACACCUUGUCGAGCAUACAGGAUUAAUASSCYKGUAKUCSUAUCCRUAAAGCUUCAGAACUCGGUGUACACCGCGUACGGGGCUAGUGACGUAGAUACAGCGUUAAGUUACACCCGGAAGGAGUAUGGUCUCAAGCACCAUACUCCAAGGAAGUGUCGGGGGCCCCCUCCCACGGUAGCACAUAUAGUUCACUUCGAAGCAAGACGAAGAACUUCACAUGGGCUUGAACCGCACAGUACCAUCAUGAGAAAUCACGACUUCCUGCAAGGGACUGGUGGCGAGUAGUUGCAUGCAGGUUGUUAGCUUGGGCCCGGAGGUGUUGGGUUAAGUCCCGCAACGAGCGCAACCCUUACUCUUAGUUGCUACCCGCAAGGGAGAACUCUAGGAGGACUGCUCCGGACAAGAUUGAGGAAGGUGGGGAUGAGGUCAAGUCAGCAUGGCCUUUAUGUCCAGGGGUACACAUGUGUUACAUCGCGCGGUACAAAGAUUUUCGAACCCGUGAGGGGGAACUAAUCGCAAAAAAGAAUCAUCAGUUGGGAUUUCAGUCAGCAAAUUGAUUGCAUGAUGCCGGAAUCGCUAGUAAUGGCGUAUCAGAUUUCCGCCGUGAAUACGUUCCCGGGCCUUGUACACACCGCCCGUCACAUCACGAAAGUCGGUUGUAUUAGAAAUCGCUGUCCCAACUGCAAGGAGGCAGGUGCUCAAGGUAUGACUCAUGAUUGGGGUGAAGUCCUAACAAGGUAACC
rnacentral:rRNA from 1 species